GGUUAAGCGACUAAGCGUACACGGUGGAUGCCCUGGCAGUCAGAGGCGAUGAAGGACGUGCUAAUCUGCGAUAAGCGUCGGUAAGGUGAUAUGAACCGUUAUAACCGGCGAUUUCCGAAUGGGGAAACCCAGUGUGUUUCGACACACUAUCAUUAACUGAAUCCAUAGGUUAAUGAGGCGAACCGGGGGAACUGAAACAUCUAAGUACCCCGAGGAAAAGAAAUCAACCGAGAUUCCCCCAGUAGCGGCGAGCGAACGGGGAGGAGCCCAGAGCCUGAAUCAGUGUGUGUGUUAGUGGAAGCGUCUGGAAAGGCGCGCGAUACAGGGUGACAGCCCCGUACACAAAAAUGCACAUAUUGUGAGCUCGAUGAGUAGGGCGGGACACGUGGUAUCCUGUCUGAAUAUGGGGGGACCAUCCUCCAAGGCUAAAUACUCCUGACUGACCGAUAGUGAACCAGUACCGUGAGGGAAAGGCGAAAAGAACCCCGGCGAGGGGAGUGAAAAAGAACCUGAAACCGUGUACGUACAAGCAGUGGGAGCCUCUUUUAUGGGGUGACUGCGUACCUUUUGUAUAAUGGGUCAGCGACUUAUAUUCUGUAGCAAGGUUAACCGAAUAGGGGAGCCGAAGGGAAACCGAGUCUUAACUGGGCGUUAAGUUGCAGGGUAUAGACCCGAAACCCGGUGAUCUAGCCAUGGGCAGGUUGAAGGUUGGGUAACACUAACUGGAGGACCGAACCGACUAAUGUUGAAAAAUUAGCGGAUGACUUGUGGCUGGGGGUGAAAGGCCAAUCAAACCGGGAGAUAGCUGGUUCUCCCCGAAAGCUAUUUAGGUAGCGCCUCGUGAACUCAUCUCCGGGGGUAGAGCACUGUUUCGGCAAGGGGGUCAUCCCGACUUACCAACCCGAUGCAAACUGCGAAUACCGGAGAAUGUUAUCACGGGAGACACACGGCGGGUGCUAACGUCCGUCGUGAAGAGGGAAACAACCCAGACCGCCAGCUAAGGUCCCAAAGUCAUGGUUAAGUGGGAAACGAUGUGGGAAGGCCCAGACAGCCAGGAUGUUGGCUUAGAAGCAGCCAUCAUUUAAAGAAAGCGUAAUAGCUCACUGGUCGAGUCGGCCUGCGCGGAAGAUGUAACGGGGCUAAACCAUGCACCGAAGCUGCGGCAGCGACGCUGAUGCGUUGUUGGGUAGGGGAGCGUUCUGUAAGCCUGUGAAGGUGUGCUGUGAGGCAUGCUGGAGGUAUCAGAAGUGCGAAUGCUGACAUAAGUAACGAUAAAGCGGGUGAAAAGCCCGCUCGCCGGAAGACCAAGGGUUCCUGUCCAACGUUAAUCGGGGCAGGGUGAGUCGACCCCUAAGGCGAGGCCGAAAGGCGUAGUCGAUGGGAAACAGGUUAAUAUUCCUGUACUUGGUGUUACUGCGAAGGGGGGACGGAGAAGGCUAUGUUGGCCGGGCGACGGUUGUCCCGGUUUAAGCGUGUAGGCUGGUUUUCCAGGCAAAUCCGGAAAAUCAAGGCUGAGGCGUGAUGACGAGGCACUACGGUGCUGAAGCAACAAAUGCCCUGCUUCCAGGAAAAGCCUCUAAGCAUCAGGUAACAUCAAAUCGUACCCCAAACCGACACAGGUGGUCAGGUAGAGAAUACCAAGGCGCUUGAGAGAACUCGGGUGAAGGAACUAGGCAAAAUGGUGCCGUAACUUCGGGAGAAGGCACGCUGAUAUGUAGGUGAAGUCCCUCGCGGAUGGAGCUGAAAUCAGUCGAAGAUACCAGCUGGCUGCAACUGUUUAUUAAAAACACAGCACUGUGCAAACACGAAAGUGGACGUAUACGGUGUGACGCCUGCCCGGUGCCGGAAGGUUAAUUGAUGGGGUCAGCGCAAGCGAAGCUCUUGAUCGAAGCCCCGGUAAACGGCGGCCGUAACUAUAACGGUCCUAAGGUAGCGAAAUUCCUUGUCGGGUAAGUUCCGACCUGCACGAAUGGCGUAAUGAUGGCCAGGCUGUCUCCACCCGAGACUCAGUGAAAUUGAACUCGCUGUGAAGAUGCAGUGUACCCGCGGCAAGACGGAAAGACCCCGUGAACCUUUACUAUAGCUUGACACUGAACAUUGAGCCUUGAUGUGUAGGAUAGGUGGGAGGCUUAGAAGUGUGGACGCCAGUCUGCAUGGAGCCGACCUUGAAAUACCACCCUUUAAUGUUUGAUGUUCUAACGUUGACCCGUGAUCCGGGUUGCGGACAGUGUCUGGUGGGUAGUUUGACUGGGGCGGUCUCCUCCUAAAGAGUAACGGAGGAGCACGAAGGUUGGCUAAUCCUGGUCGGACAUCAGGAGGUUAGUGCAAUGGCAUAAGCCAGCUUGACUGCGAGCGUGACGGCGCGAGCAGGUGCGAAAGCAGGUCAUAGUGAUCCGGUGGUUCUGAAUGGAAGGGCCAUCGCUCAACGGAUAAAAGGUACUCCGGGGAUAACAGGCUGAUACCGCCCAAGAGUUCAUAUCGACGGCGGUGUUUGGCACCUCGAUGUCGGCUCAUCACAUCCUGGGGCUGAAGUAGGUCCCAAGGGUAUGGCUGUUCGCCAUUUAAAGUGGUACGCGAGCUGGGUUUAGAACGUCGUGAGACAGUUCGGUCCCUAUCUGCCGUGGGCGCUGGAGAACUGAGGGGGGCUGCUCCUAGUACGAGAGGACCGGAGUGGACGCAUCACUGGUGUUCGGGUUGUCAUGCCAAUGGCACUGCCCGGUAGCUAAAUGCGGAAGAGAUAAGUGCUGAAAGCAUCUAAGCACGAAACUUGCCCCGAGAUGAGUUCUCCCUGACCCUUUAAGGGUCCUGAAGGAACGUUGAAGACGACGACGUUGAUAGGCCGGGUGUGUAAGCGCAGCGAUGCGUUGAGCUAACCGGUACUAAUGAACCGUGAGGCUUAACCUU
rnacentral:rRNA from 1 species